UUAUACUUGUAGCUACUCAAGCGUACUGUAUUUCAACUGACCAAGACAAAAAUCAAAUUCUCUUAGUCAAAAAUAGGUCUUUCCAAAGACAAUUAAGGGAUAAAAGGUAAGCUACUUAGAGCUUAAAAAGGCAGGCGAAGGCUGAAACCUAUACUCUCCUCGAAAAACUUCCAGGCACAAUAAUAAAAUAUAAAACUCUAAAAUAAGUUUGAACAAGGAAUCCAUCAAUAUCAAAAAGUCCUAUUAAAUUAUGCUAAAUAAGUGUAAUAUAAAAGUAAUUUAAGAAAAACUAUGAACAACAGCUCUCUUCAGUGAGUGACUGUAAUCCCCUUCUAAAUAGCUACCACUACGAUCAUGAACAUAGCAGGACCUUAAGGACCAACUAAAAAAAUAAUAGGCCCUUUCCCACUCAAAAUCAAAUCAAAAUCCUUUUAUUGUCACUCAACCAUAUACACAAGUGCAACAGUGGGUGAAAGUCUUGGGUGCAGUUCCAAGCAACAUAGCAGUAUGACAAUUACAAUAAACAUCUGAUGUACACAUAACACAAUUUACACAUCUUGUUACACAACACAAUAUACACCUAAUGAUAUACAAUAUACAGUAUACACAAAAUAAGACUGUAUACAAUAAAAAUACACUGUACUCCACUCCCCCCAUGUAAUCAGUGGAAAUAAAUAUGAAGUGUUGUGUUGACAUUCAGCUGUCUGUUGAGAUUCAGUUGCCAGUGUGUUAUCAAGAGAAGUAUAAAAUGUGAGUCCAGUCUGAGGCUAAUAAAGUGCAGUGCUGAUAUAUGUAUCGUGAGCGAUAAAGGAGUUCAAAAGUCUGAUUGCUUGGGGGAAGAAGCUAUCAUUAAUUCGGCUGGUGCAGGUCCUGAUGCUGUGAUACCGCCUGAUGGUAGCAGUGAGAGCAGCCCAUGGCUCGGGUGGCUGGAGUCUCUGAUGAUCCUCCAAGCUUUUUUUAGAAAGUUUUUUCUGCAACUACCAUAGGGUAAUACAGUACAUUUAGUGUUACUGCAGUAAAUCCAUGAUAACGUUUUGAAAGAGUUGUGAUCUGUGAAUUGAAAAGCCUUCUACUUUAUGUUUUCUCCUGUUUUAUUUGUCAGUGCCGUUUAGAAUGUGGGGGCUGUUUGUUUUAAACUAGUUUCAUCACAAAGACAAAAGAGUUUUGCAACAGACAAUUCUGUACCACAUUCAAACAGGUUUCGUGAUCCCCGCUACAAAUCUCACUGGUUCACAAGCACAUUUAAAAUAGUCUGUUGUUCGGUUGAGUCCAGUCCGCUAAUUACUGCACCUGUUCUGCCCUCGUGCUGCUAUGAUUAAGCCGUGUUGAUACACUCAAAAAAAAUAUUUUUGGAGGCUGUUCACUUUAUUAAACAAUUUUGAUUUAACACCAUUGUAUCAGGUUUCUUGUUCAAACAGGAGUGCAUCAUGUUAAACUGACUUGAAUAGGUGACUCUUUGGCUCAACUCGAUGCGUUCAUUUUGAAAGAGCUCAUUUCAAUCAAGCUUGAUCAAAAAGGGCAACUGGCAGCAGGAAGUAAGCAGUUGAGACACAGUCGGCAGCAGUCAUUGAGUGUUUCCAUUUGAAGAGAUAAAUUUGAUGUUGAGUAAUUAAAUUGGCAUUUAUUAUACUGAGUUUGUUAACUACUUUAAUGUUUUGAUGGGAGCACUGCAGGAUCGAUGGAGUUCAUUUGACUUACAAAUAAUUUAUUUACUUUAUUUAAAUAGAUUUCCAUGCCUCCUUAUAACUUGACCAGAUUGCCUUCUUUAAUAAGUACAAACAACGGUUUUUAAUUCUGUUGUUUGUCUUGCAUUGCCCUGUAUUGUUAAAAUACAACGUAUAACACCAAUUAUAAAGGAUUUGGCCUGAAUGAACAAAAUUAACUUUGUAUUGAAAGAAUCAAUUAAUAUUUUUAUGUGAUGUGCAAAGCAAAGCAAGUACAUUAAAAAUGUUAAAAUAUUGAGCUGGAACAGACACCUUUAUUGUUGUGCAUAUUAAUUUGGACAUAAAUCUACUUAUUUAUUGAACCAUACGUGAAAAAAAAAAAAAAAAAAAUCGGUUUUCAUGUAUUUAAGGUUUACAUGCAUGUAGCAGCUCCUCGGUGUAUCUACAGAUGUACAAUUUCUACAUUUGACAAGCAUUUUAACACUGAGGAAUUUCUGUUUAGUGGAGUUAGCCUGUGAUUCUUUAGAUUAAAUUAAGUUCUUUCUUUUUUUUAAGGUGACUGUUGUGUAAUUUAACUGAUAGACUUAUAUGCUAUUAGUUUUUCUCCCCAUUCUAAAGAAUACUGAUGGCUUAAAGGACUUGUUUGAACUAGUUUCCUGCCCUAGUUUGUACAAGAUGGAUGUAUUUUGUUAGUCGCAUGGUACACGUUUCCGAAGUAAGUAACAAGUGUAUGUGUUUACUGUAAAAUAGCCAUAUUUCUUUAUUUUAUCUAAAUGGGCAACAUUGGAAUUAAUUGGUUUUCCCCAUUUUUUAUGACUUAAGAUAUUGUUUGACCGCCAAGCAAGUUGAAGAGAAAUAAAAAUGUCCAAUAAAACUGUUGUGUAAAUGCACAAGGUUGAUAAUUUGUAGGGAUGUCUUUCAAUCCAUUGUGAAUGUAUCUAGUCUUUCUUAUCUCUCUGUUUCAGGUGCUUGCUGAGUAGCGCUUUACAAAACAGAAUCUACCAAACACACGUAUGCAGAACUUGAUCGGCACAGUCUUUGCUGAUGACUUUAUAUUUCGUCAGAAGGCACUGGAGUCUGAAAAGACUUCUGGUGAACUUGCUGAGAUUCUCUUGAUCCGUUACUUAAAGGUUCAACAUAGUGUCCACACAAGUCGAACCACUGUGCUUCGUGCACUUCCUGUGCUGCUGAGAGAAGACACCUCAAGAUUCUUCAAAACAUGCGGAGGCUGAAGAUUCAGAAGAGCCAAAUGUUGGAUAUUCAUCAGUUGCCCUGUUAACAGCGGUCAGAGAACUCACAGAUGCUGCAAUUCACUACAAUCUGGUCAGAAAUGUAAUUGUUCUUGAAAUGAAGUCAUCACCCACCUGCCCAGGCUUUUCAGAUUUCUUUUUAUGUUUGGACUAAUUUAUGCAUUGGAUCUGAGUUACCCAAAAGAGUUUUAAAGACAUGUGGCUUUAUAAGGUUUUAACGUUGAAGGAUGUGCAACACUAAUGCAGCUGUAGACAAUUUAUCCUGUCUCUGUCAAAUGUGUUUUUUGUUUUUUUCAGUGUUGUGCCUCAUGUUUUGUCAAUAUAUGUACCUUGUAUUUUUAUAUUAAAUGUUUACUACAUGCAGUUUACUUAUUUGUUUAAUGUUUAAGUUGCAAAACGUUCACAUUUAAGAAAACUUUAUAAAAUAAAACAAAAAUAAAACACAAGGCAGUUGCAAAACAUUUUAAAGUAAUACUACUAGCACAUUUGAAGUCACCUAAAAUUAUAUAGUUUAAUUAUUAAGUUAACAUAGCUUAAAAAAAAAAAAAAAAAAAAAAAAAAAAAGAUUAAUACAAAGCAUAUUCAUGAUUUCAAAAAUAUGUUGUUGUUUUUUUUCCAAGUCGUAUAAAUAUAUUAAGUUUGCAGAACUUUACAUUUUGAGUUGUGGUUAAUUCAAAUAAACAUUAGUAAUUACAUAUUUUGAUCCCAUAUUUUGGACAAAAUCAUUUAUUUUCAUUUAUAGUUUGAGAAAAACAAGUUAUGCAUAUUGAGACUUAAGUUUUGAAACUUAUAAAAGUAAAGGCAAUCAGCUGCCUCAAAUUUUUUUAAGUUAGUAGAACUCAUACGGGUUUACAGUGUUUUUAAACCUUCCAAAAAUUGGCCCCAUUUACUUCCAUUGUAAGUGCCUCACUUAAAGAAAAGGAAGGAUGAGUCAGAAUAAUUUUGUGGUAAUCAACACUGGCACAAAUGCUUUCAAUUGAGCUCAACUUGUAUUGAACCUGUAUUCCCUUAAGCUUUGAAUGUGGAAUGUACAACAGACUUCAGAACUUUUUUCCAAUAAAUGGAUUAGUUUCAU